rnacentral:rRNA from 1 species
GUGCCAGCCGCCGCGGUAACACCGGCAGCCCGAGUGAUGGCCGAUUUUAUUGGGCCUAAAGCGUCCGUAGCUGGCCGCGUAGGUCCGUCGGGAAAUCUACUGGCCUAACCAGUAGGCGUCCGGCGGAAACCUCGUGGCUUGGGACCGGGAGACCUGAGGGGUACGUCCGGGGUAGGAGUGAAAUCCCGUAAUCUCGGACGGACCACCGGUGGCGAAAGCGCCUCAGGAGAACGGAUCCGACAGUGAGGGACGAAAGCUAGGGUCUCGAACCGGAUUAGAAACCCGUGUAGUCC